rnacentral:rRNA from 1 species
UUGCUUACUUCUUAGUGGCGAACGGGUGAGUAAUACAUAAGCAAUCUGCCCAUAUGCCUGGGNNAACCGUUGGAAACGAUGGCUAAUACCGGAUAGAUGACCCGAAGGCAUCUUCGGAUUAUUAAAGCUCGCAUACAACACAUAUGGAUGAGCUUAUGGCGCAUUUGCUGGUUGGUGAGGUAACGGCUCACCAAAGCUAUGAUGCGUAUCCGACCUGAGAGGGUGACCGGCCCCACUGGGACUGAGACACGGCCCACACUCCUACGGGAGGCAGCAGUAGGGAAUUUUCUGCAAUGGGGGAAACCCUGACCGANCAACGCCGCGUGAGUGAAGAAAGCCUUCGGGUUGUAAAGCUCUUUUGUAAGGGAAGAAAAAAUCAUAAAGGGAAUG